GUGUGCACGCGUACUGGCUUCUUUUCUCAAUCCACUGUGUAAAUAUUAGUUUUCCUAAGUCAGUUCUGAGCUCCCUCAUUUUCUUCUCCAAUUUCCUUCUUUAGGGCAGUUUCAGAUGUAAUGAGUCCGAAGAUCACAUCUUGCUCUCAAGUUCCCUACAUAACUUAGAUACUUUUUUCAUAUACUGUUAAACACUGAAAUUCAAAAGUUGUAAUUUUUCUUUUCAAGAGUCUCCAAGUGUACCUGCAACCCCACACUUCUCGUCUCAGUGAAUGACCCGAUUUCCCAAGCAAGAAAUCUAUGUGUAAUUCUACUUUAGUCAGUAGGUGCUAACUGGCCACCUCCUGUUGUCCUUGAUAUGAAUAUUUUUUUUCCUCUUCCUCUACCACUUCUCUAAUUUAAGCCAGUCC